rnacentral:rRNA from 1 species
UACGAAGGGGGCUAGCGUUGCUCGGAAUUACUGGGCGUAAAGCGCACGCAGGUGGCUGAGAAAGUCGAUUGUGAAAGCCCUGGGCUUAACCUGGGAAUUGCAGUCGAAACUACUCGGCUAGAGUAUGGGAGAGGACAGUGGAAUUCCCGGUGUAGCGGUGAAAUGCGUAGAUAUCGGGAGGAACAUCAGUGGCGAAGGCGGCUGUCUGGCCCAAUACUGACACUCAGGUGCGACAGCGUGGGGAGCAAACAGG